GAUGCAAGCCAGACAGCCGCUGGUCAGUGCGUAAGGCCUGACGGGAGGAAGGUCCGGACUCCAUAGAGCGGGGUGACGGUUAACGGCCGUCCGUCGAAAGUCCGCAAGGAUAUAAGGCGAGGAAUAGGGCCACAGAGACGAGCGUAUUAAGUUACGGUGAAACGCGGUAACCUCCACCUGGUGCAAUUCCAAAUAGGCACGCGAUGAUGUUGCUCGCGGAGCGUGCGGGUAGGAAGCUUGAGCGCUGGAGCAAUCCAGCGCCUAGAGGAAUGGCUGUCAUAGCGCAGGUUCGCCUGCGCCGUAACAAAAUCCGGCCUAUCGGCUUGCUUCAACU
rnacentral:RNase_P_RNA from 2 species